rnacentral:rRNA from 1 species
UACAGAGACUGCAAGCGUUAUUCGGAUUCACUGGGCGUAAAGGGUGCGCAGGCGGCCAAGUGUGUGAGGCGUGAAAGCCCGGGGCUUAACCCCGGAAUUGCACCUCAAACUACAUGGCUAGAGCAUUGGAGAGGGUAGCGGGAUUCACGGUGUAGCAGUGAAAUGCGUAGAUAUCGUGAGGAGCACCAGAGGCGAAGGCGGCUACCUGGACAAUUGCUGACGCUCAGGCACGAAAGCGUGGGGAGCAAAAGGG